rnacentral:rRNA from 1 species
UUUCCGUAGGGGGACCUGGGGAAGGAUCAUU